rnacentral:rRNA from 1 species
GAUGAACGCUGGCGGCGUGCCUAAUACAUGCAAGUCGAGCGAACGGACGAGAAGCUUGCUUUUCUGAUGUUAGCGGCGGACGGGUGAGUAACACGUGGAUAACCUACCUAUAAGACUGGGAUAACUUCGGGAAACCGGAGCUAAUACCGGAUAAUAUUUUGAACCGCAUGGUUCAAAAGUGAAAGACGGUCUUGCUGUCACUUAUAGCUGGAUCCGCGCUGCAUUGGCUAGUUGGUAAGGUAACGGCUUACCAAGGCAACGAUGCAUAGCCGACCUGAGAGGGUGAUCGGCCACACUGGAACUGAGACACGGUCCAGACUCCUACGGGAGGCAGCAGUAGGGAAUCUUCCGCAAUGGGCGAAAGCCUGACGGAGCAACGCCGCGUGAGUGAUGAAGGUCUUCGGAUCGUAAAACUCUGUUAUUAGGGAAGAACAUAUGUGUAAGUAACUGUGCACAUCUUGACGGUACCUAAUCAGAAAGCCACGGCUAACUACGUG